GAGCGCGUCCCCCGGGCCCCGGCGGCCUCCCUGCUGCGGCGGGGAGGGGCGGCUGGCAGCGACGGCGGCGGACGGAGGGGGAGGGCCGUGAGCGUGCGGAGCCAGCCUCGAGGGUGCUGAACCCAGCGUGCCCGCCUCGCCGCGGCGCCCGGGUGGGGGCGUCCACGGCCCCAGUUCCCGGCGGGCUUGGGGCAGGGGUGCAGUCCGGAGAUUCCGGGACUGCCCGGCUGCUGCAGCCCGCAGGCUCCUCUCUCCUCCCCGCUUCCCCUCCGCAUCGCCUGGGCUAAAGGCGGCCAAGCGGAGGCUCCGAGAGAAAAGGGAAAAUUGCAACCCUUGCCUACAACCAGACUGACAGCAUAAUUUCUUAGGAAUCAACAAUCAACACAGGGUUAUUUCUUUAGAUUAAACCUUGAAAGCCCCCUUGGAGGCUGAAGGAACAGAGGAUAGCCAUGCAUACACUUGAACAUGAAAAAUGGUCCUCUUUCAUUGGAGAGGUCUCCCUCUUCAGCUAAACAGACAGAGUGGUGAAAAGAAGAAGGGACCCCUUCCUGACCAAAAUAAUCAUCCAGACAAAUCAAAUUGGCCUUUUCUAGCAAGGAAUGGAACAGCCCAAGGGUGGCUAGAUCACAUCUGCUCACACCACCACUGAGUAAUCCUCUCCAGGACUGCCACCUAUGUGCGGGUCAUGCCCUGUGCAAGAGCACCUAAAGUGGGAGCUGAAGUCCUGCCCAGGCUCCGUUCACCAAGCAGAGUUUAUGUUGCUGUGUGUCUGUGUCUACGCAGAGGAUGUGGGUCCUUUUUAAAAUGUACACCAAGUCAUUGUGUAUGAGCUAGCACCAGCUCGGACCAUCCCUCCCUCAUACCCUGGUCCUAUCCAGAGUUAUAUUCCCUACUUUAGAAGAAUUAAUUAUUCUCAUGAACGUAUUUAGUUGAUUGUAAAAAAUGAAAUAUGUGACACAAAUUGAAAUUAAUUUCAGAAGUAAAGGUCAAAAUAUUAUCAUGUAUGUGAAUUACGUAUAUACGUUUGUAUAUGUAUGUAUCAAGAGAGUUAUAUGAAUAUACAUUUCUGUGUAUCAGAAGUGAGGACAAUUUAACUUUGGUAAGUGUUUAAAAUAAAACUAUUUUGAGUUUUG